rnacentral:rRNA from 1 species
CACCUCUUCCCAUCCCGAACAGAGAAGUUAAGCCCGCCUGCGCAGAUGGUACUGCAAUUAUGUGGGAGAGUAUGUCGUCGCCUUUC